rnacentral:rRNA from 1 species
UUGAAAAGAACUUUGGAGAGAGAGUCAAAGAGACCGCGAAACCGUUAGAAGGGAAACGAACGUGGCCGUGAAGACUCCCUUCAGGUUCAGGGAGCUUUGGUUUGGGUGUUUGCGAGGUUGGGGGCCCGCCUUUGGGCCCCGCCGGCGCAAGUCCUUCCAGGGUUUUGCAAUCCCGUCAGGAGUCCGCCAACGGCGGGCGUUUUCGCGGUCGAGGAGGGCCGUGUGGUAGGUGCCUCUUCGUCGGUCUCGGCGAGGAGAACUUACAGCUUUCGGUCCGGCAGGCCGCGAACGCCCGAGGAGUGUUGCGACCAGUCGCACGGCGUAGCGCAGGCUCCGCAGGGGCCGGAUCGCUUCUGGACCUGCGUGCUCCGCGGCCAAUCACUGCCAGCAGUGGGGGUCGACGGUGGGUGCGCUCGUUCGGAAGGCGGACCACGCAUUGCGCUGAGGUCG